ensembl:misc_RNA Metazoa_SRP Metazoan signal recognition particle RNA
GCCUGGCACAGUGGCCAGUGCCUGUAGUCCUAGCUUCUCAGGAGGCUGAGGCUGGAGAAUCCCUUGAGUUCAGGAGUUCUGGGCUGUAGUGCGCUAUACCAAUCGGGCCGCAUUAAGUUUGGCAUCAAUAUGGUGACGUCCCGGGAGUGGGCGACCACCAGGUUGCCUAAGGAGUGGUGAACCAGCCAAGGUCAGAAAUGGAGCAGGUUAAAACUCCCGUGCUGAUCAGUAGUGGGAUUGCACCCAUGAAUAGCCACUGCACUCCAGCCUGGGCAACAUAGUCAGACCCUGCCUCUU